ensembl:misc_RNA Metazoa_SRP Metazoan signal recognition particle RNA
GCUGGGUGUGGUGGUGCACACCUGUAGUUCCAGCUACUUGGGAGGCUGAGGCAGGAGAAUCGUUUGAACCCAAGAGGCGGAGGUUGCAGUGAGCUGAGAUCAUACCACUGCACUCCAGCCUGGGUGACAGAGCGAGACCCUGUCUCAA